CAGUCGCCGCGGGAAUACGGAGGAUCCGAGCGUUAUCCGGAAUUAUUGGGCGUAAAGAGCUCGUAGGCGGUUUGUCGCGUCUGCUGUGAAAACUGGAGGCUCAACCUCCAGCCUGCAGUGGGUACGGGCAGACUAGAGUGCGGUAGGGGAGAUUGGAAUUCCUGGUGUAGCGGUGGAAUGCGCAGAUAUCAGGAGGAACACCGAUGGCGAAGGCAGAUCUCUGGGCCGUAACUGACGCUGAGGAGCGAAAGCGUGGGGAGCGAACAGGAUUAGAUACCCCCGUAGUCCCUGUCUCUUAUAC
rnacentral:rRNA from 1 species